CUAAAAUAUAAUUUUGUUUUAUUACGUUAGGAGUGUUAUAACGUUUUCCUUUUGCCUGUUUAGGUCAUACCAGCUUUUUAAAACUGUGUUCCCUUUGAUGCCAUAAUGUUGUUAUUCUUGAAACAUACAAUCCAAAAACUUGCAUGUUUCAUAUCUUGCUGAUUAGAGAAGUCAAUGCUUACAUUCUUACCACUGCAGGUUAUCCUUGUGACAGAACAGUUACUGCUCCACUCCAACCAUGGCAAGUCACCCAUUGGUAUACUCACUGCUUCACUUCAACUAUUAUCUUCAAUGGGCUGGUUGUUUCUUUGACAGAGUUUGCUGCUGCCUGCACAGAUGAUGAAAGUCUAACAACUUGGAACAUGUCUAAAAACUCACUGCAGGCUAUCCAUGUGACUGUAAAGAUUGUGCUAUCUAGAAACUCAAUGCUUCACUUUAACCACUGUAGUUCAUCCAUGUGACAGGAACCAUUAUCUUCAAUUGGCAAGUCUUAAAGUUUUUAUCCAAUGUCUACUAAAUUUGAACUUUACUUCGCCUCAUCAAACGAAACUUGUCCUGUUUACUGGGGUCAGAUAUCUCUAGUUUUUUUACCUUAUCAAGUCCUGGGACACUGGUAACUAAACAAAUGUUUUUGUAACCUUUAAAUUGUUCCCAGGCUGACUUUGUGUCAUUCAUGCAACAUUACCAAAGUUAGUGCCAUUCUUUUAGAAAGAUUGCAAAUCUAAUAACAGUUCAAGAUCCAUUUGUUUCAAGUUUAAUAAAUUGUUCUUUCUUGGGAUCCUUCUCUUUUAAUUAUAUUUUUUGUUCAAUUUGUCAAUAUAAUCAAUGGCCGAUCAGGGGGGCUUGCCUCCCCCUAACAACUCUGAAAACCAAGGUUUUUUGUUAAGUUAGGAUGGUUACAUUUUAUAUUUGAAAUUGGCGCCAGAUUGAGAGGUUAACAAACCUAAUAAUCAGACAACCCUAGAUGUAAAAAGCUAAAGCUGCCCAGUCCCCUGAAACUUCUUAACCUUGUGAUUUCAAUCCUUAAAUAGUUUUCCAGAGCAAAUGUGCCAUUUCUUAAUUUCAACAACAUGUUGGUACAGUUUAGUCAACUGUCUUUAAAAAAACAAACCAAUCUUGUGAUUUUGAAUAAUGUGCUUGAUACUUUCAUGUAUAUGUCUUGAUUCUGUCUCUGUUGCCAUGCUGGUUGUUUCUUUGACAGAGUUGGCUGCUGCCUGCACAGAUGAUGAAAGUUGAACACCUUGGAAAAUGUAUAGGAAUUCACUGCAGGCUACCCAAGUUGCUAUAAAGGUUGUGAUAUAGAAACUUCCUGCUUAACUCCAAACACUGUAGUUCAUUCAUGUGACAGCAACUAUUAUCUGCAAUGGGCUGGUUGUUCUUUGACAGAGUUAGCUGCUGCCUGCACCGAUGAUGAAAGUCUAACAACUUGGAACAUGUCUAAAAAUCCACUGCAUGCUAUCCACGUGACUGUAGCUUAAAGGUUGUUCUAUCUAGAAACUCGAUGCUUCAUUCCAACCACUGUAGUUCACUGUGAGGCAAAUAUUAUCUUCAAUGGGCUAUCCAUGUGACUGUACAGGCUGUGCUAUCUAGAAACUCAAUACUUCACGUUAACCACUUUAAGUCAUCCAUGUGAUUGCAACUAUUAUCUUCAAUGGGUAAGUCUUGAAGUUUUAUCCCAUAUGUACUCAUUUUUAAUCUUAAUUUGUCUUAUCAAACAAAACUUGUCCCGUGCACAGACGUCAUAUCACAUUUUUUUUUUAUCCUAUCGAUUCCUCGGACACUUGCAACUUAACAACAAUUUGUUUUCAAUUUCAAAUUGUUCCUGAGCUGAGUGAUAUUCAAGAAGUAUUAUCAAACUUUGUGCCAUUCUUUUAAAAAUGAAUGCAAUCUAAUGAUAGUUCAACUCUCAUUUGUUUCAAGUUUAAUAAAUUGUUCUCUCUUGGGAUCCUUCUUUUUUUUAAUUGAUUUUUUUCCACAAUUGCUGCAUGCACAGAGGACAACGAAAGUCUAACAAUUUAGGACUUGUCUAGGAACGCACUGCAAGCUGUCCAUGUGACUGUAAAGGUUGUGCUAUUUAGAAACUCAUUUCACUCAAACCACUUUAGGCCAUUCAUGUGACAGCAACUAUUAUCUUCAAUGGGCAAGUCUUGAAGUUUGAUCCCAUACAUCUACUCAAUGUGAACUUGAAUUUGUACCAUUAAUAAAAUUGAAAAUCCAAUGAUCUCUUUACAUUCUUCUUUAAAAUUGAUUUUGUUUUCAAAAUUGACAGUAUAAUCGAGGGAGGGGGACCAACGGGGGCAAUACCUGCUCCCCCAACUCUUUCUGUUAUUAUCAUGUUAUGACCAAGCACUUUUUGUUUGAAAUGGACGCUUUAUUGACAAGUUAACUAACUUUAUACUCGGACUACCCUGCAUGUAAUCUAAAAGUUUAUGUUUGUCUCAUUAGGGCAACCCAGCUUUAUUAAACUUUUUCUCCUGAGUGACUGAUUGCCAUAUUGGUAAGGUACUUAAUAUCAUGCAGUCUAUAUCGAUUUGCAUGUUUCAUAUUUUGCUGAAAAGUUAACUCAAUACUACAUUCUUACCACUGCAGGUUAUCCAUGUGACGGCACAGUUACUGCUACAGUUGCUGCAGGUCAUCCGCACAGGCACAGCUUGUCCAAGUAUUAAGUCACAAGGAACUGGAGUGUAUAAUGUAAGCCUUUCUUUCAUUCUAAAGGGCCAGUCACACUGCAGCAAUAAAGAUAACAACGCAUAGAAAUUUAUUCAACCAAUCGUUGGCGUGCAUUGUAAUGCUUUCAUAUUCGUUAUCGAGGCCUUUAAGCCACCCCUUUACCGUUUCUUUUUAGGACUAACUGUUCUAACAUCAGGCUGGCCACUUUUUUUAACUCUCUUUCAAUUUUUAGUUUUUUACCCAAGUCUUUUCUUCCAUGUUAU